rnacentral:lncRNA from 1 species
CUUUGGGCUUUUCCUCUCUCUGCAGGGUUUCUGGCUGAUAAAGGUAUAUAGGAGGUUCUGAAAUGUUAUUGAGUGAAUGAAUAAAUUAGCACUAGAAAAAAAGCAUGGACUUUGGAAGAGGACCAGAAUUUAAAACCAGACUAGAAGUGUAGAGUUGGGGGAACUCAACCCAUUUCCCACCACUUCCAUCGACCUCCUGUGGCAUCCUAAUGUUCAGAAGGAGAAGAACAUUCUAGAAGGAGAACAAAAUUCUAUCAGCAAGAAGUAUAAUACUCUUGUGCCAAAGGUGUGCACAAUCAGCCAAGUGACCUGAGAAAUGCAAGUCCUGGCUCUAUUGAGGUCAUCAAGGAGAAAGCAAGCCGCUGGCAAGUCAGGAAUCU